CCUACGGGGGGCAGCAGUAGGGAAUAUUGCUCAAUGGGGGAAACCCUGAAGCAGCAACGCCGCGUGGAGGAUGAAGGUUUUCGUAUUGUAAACUCCUUUUGUUAGAGAAGAUAAUGACGGUAUCUAACGAAUAAGCCCCGGCUAACUCCGUGCCAGCAGCCGCGGUAAUACGGAGGGUGCAAGCGUUACUCGGAAUCACUGGGCGUAAAGAGCGCGUAGGCGGGAUAGCAAGUCAGAUGUGAAAUCCUCUGGCGUAACCAUAGAACUGCAUUUGAAACUGUUAUUCUAGAGUAUAGGAGAGGUAGGUGGAAUUCUUGGUGUAGGGGUAAAAUCCGUAGAGAUCAAGAGGAAUACUCAUUGCGAAGGCGACCUGCUAGAACAUAACUGACGCUGAUGCGCGAAAGCGUGGGGAGCAAACAGGAGUAGAUACCCUGGUAGUC
rnacentral:rRNA from 1 species